rnacentral:rRNA from 1 species
UACGAAGGGGGCGAGCGUUGUUCGGAUUUACUGGGCGUAAAGGGCGCGUAGGCGGCCCUCCUAGUCGCGUGUGAAAGCCCCCGGCUCAACUGGGGAGGGUCACGCGAUACUGAUCGACUCGAAGGCAGGAGAGGGAAGUGGAAUUCCCGGUGUAGUGGUGAAAUGCGUAGAUAUCGGGAGGAACACCAGUGGCGAAGGCGACUUCCUGGCCUGUUCUUGACGCUGAGGCGCGAAAGCUAGGGGAGCAAACGGG